CAGCUCACUGGUCAAGUGGACAUGCGCCGACAAUUCACGGGGCUAAGCAUAACACCGAAGCGGCGGACUAAUCUAUAUUAGUGGUAGGGGAGCUUUCCCCGCAGCGGAGAAGCCGAGAGGGCGACCCUCGGUGGAGCGCGGGGAAGUGAGAAUGCUGGCAUGAGUAACGAGAGCGGCGCGAGAAACGCCGCCGCCGUAAGCCUAAGGGUUCCUGGGCAAGGCUAAUCCUCCCAGGGUCAGUCGGGAGCUAAGGCGAGGCCGAGAGGCGUAGCCGAUGCGCAACAGGCGGACAUUCCUGUACCGCCUGCGGACCGCUAUCACCGACGGGGUGACGGAGAAGGGUAGCCGAGCGGGGUUCUGGACGUCCCCGUGAAAGCGCGUAGGGAGCAUCGCAUGGAAAUCAGCGGCGCAUAUAUCCUGAGACGCGAGACGAAAGCUUAUGCUGAAGUCGGCGAGCCCAUGCUUCCGAGAAAAACCUCUAGGAAGGGACGCAGGCGCCCGUACCAAAACCGACACAGGUGGGCAGGUAGAGCAUACCGAGGCGAUCGGGAGAACCAUGGUUAAGGAACUCGGCAUACUGACUCCGUAACUUCGGGAGAAGGAGUGCCCCUGGCGGUGACGGGACUAGCUCCCCGAGCGGCCGGGGGUCGCAGCGAAACGGCCCAAGCGACUGUUUAUCAAAAACACAGGACUCUGCAAAGCCGUAAGGCGACGUAUAGGGUCUGACGCCUGCCCGGUGCUGGAAGGUUACGCGGAUGGGUCAGCCGAAAGGCGAAGCUCUGAAGCCAAGCCCCAGUAAACGGCGGCCGUAACUAUAACGGUCCUAAGGUAGCGAAAUUCCUUGUCGGGUAAGUUCCGACCUGCACGAAUGGCGUAACGAUUUGGGCGCUGUCUCAACCAUGGACCCGGUGAAAUUGUAUUAUUCGUGAAGAUGCGAAUUACCUGCGGAAGGACGGAAAGACCCCGUGAACCUUUACUGCAGCUUGACAUUGAUCGUUGGCUCGGCGCGUAGAGGAUAGGCAGGAGGCUGCGAAGCCCGGGCGCCAGCCCGGGCGGAGCCGACCUUGGAAUACUGCCCUCGUCGCGUCGGCGAUCUAACCCCCGGCCGUGAUCCGGCGGGGGGACCGUGUCAGGCGGGUAGUUUGACUGGGGCGGUCGCCUCCCAAAACGUAACGGAGGCGCGCAAAGGUCCGCUCAGAACGGUCGGCAACCGUUCGCAGAGCGCAAGAGUACAAGCGGGCUUGACUGCGAGGCCCACAAGCCGAGCAGAGACGAAAGUCGGUUCUAGUGAUCCGGCGGCACAGAGUGGAAUGGCCGUCGCUCAACGGAUAAAAGGUACUCCGGGGAUAACAGGCUGAUCUUGCCCAAGAGUCCACAUCGACGGCAAGGUUUGGCACCUCGAUGUCGGCUCAUCGCAUCCUGGGGCUGAAGUCGGUCCCAAGGGUAUGGCUGUUCGCCAUUUAAAGCGGUACGCGAGCUGGGUUCAGAACGUCGUGAGACAGUUCGGUCCCUAUCCUCCGCAGGCGCAAGAGGAUUGAGGAGGUCUGCCCCUAGUACGAGAGGACCGGGGUGGACGGACCUCUGGUGCAGCAGUUGUCGACCAACGGCACGGCUGCCUAGCUACGUCCGGCACGGAUAACCGCUGAAAGCAUCUAAGUGGGAAGCCGUCUCCAAGAUGAGUCCUCUUUCCGGUAAGGGCCCAGGCAGAACACCUGGUCGAUAGGCCGCAGGUGCAAGGCGUGCGAGCGCCUCAGCCGAGCGGUACUAAUAGCCCGAGCUCUUCUUCGC
rnacentral:rRNA from 1 species